AUGAAUGAUACUCUGUCUCCUUGUCUUAGGGAAUUUGCCAUCUCAUUUUUUGAUGACAUAUUGAUUUUCAGUGCCACUUAUGCUCUCCAUUUGGAACACCUGGCAAGAGUGCUGCAGUUACUGCAAGAACAUCAGUGGAAAGUGAAGUUAUCUAAGUGUGCAUUUGCUCAAACACAGAUUGGCUAUUUGGGCCACAUCAUCAGUAGCCAAGGGGUUGCAACUGACCCUGAAAAGAUUGCUUGUAUUGAGCAGUGGCCAGUGCAUGUGUCUGCUAAGGAAGUCAGUUUUUUUGGGUCUAGCUGGAUAUUACAGAAAAUUCAUAGCCCACUAUGGUCUUAUUAG
rnacentral:rRNA from 1 species